GAUGAACGCUGGCGGCGUGCCUAAUACAUGCCAGUCGAGCGAACAGACGAGGAGCUUGCUCCUCUGACGUUAGCGGCGGACGGGUGAGUAACACGUGGAUAACCUACCUAUAAGACUGGGAUAACUUCGGGAAACCGGAGCUAAUACCGGAUAAUAUAUUGAACCGCAUGGUUCAAUAGUGAAAGACGGUUUUGCUGUCACUUAUAGAUGGAUCCGCGCCGCAUUAGCUAGUUGGUAAGGUAACGGCUUACCAAGGCAACGAUGCGUAGCCGACCUGAGAGGGUGAUCGGCCACACUGGAACGGAGACACGGUCCAGACUCCUACGGGAGGCAGCAGUAGGGAAUCUUCCGCAAUGGGCGAAAGCCUGACGGAGCAACGCCGCGUGAGUGAUGAAGGUCUUCGGAUCGUAAAACUCUGUUAUUAGGGAAGAACAAAUGUGUAAGUAACUAUGCACGUCCUGACGGUACCUAAUCAGAAAGCCACGGCUAACUACGUG
rnacentral:rRNA from 1 species